UACAGAGGAUGCGAGCGUUAUCCGGAUUUAUUGGGUUUAAAGGGUGCGCAGGCGGCACGGCAAGCCGGCGGUCAAAUCGCGGGGCUCAACCCCGCCCAGCCGUCGGAACUGCCGGGCUAGAGUGGGCGAGAAGUGCGCGGAAUGCGUGGUGUAGCGGUGAAAUGCAUAGAUAUCACGCAGAACUCCGAUUGCGAAGGCAGCGCACCGGCGCCCUACUGACGCUCAGGCACGAAAGCGUGGGUAUCGAACAGG
rnacentral:rRNA from 1 species